CCCUUUCAGCGGCAGCAUUCUAAAGGCGGCCGGCCGGCAUGCCUCCAAAGGGAAGUGCACCACAUCCUGUUUGGGGAGGCUCAGUCUUCCCUGGCCUAUUACACCCACCGCCCAUGCUUGCACCAUAGAUUGCACCCAGACUGCCUUCCAACUGCAAAGUCAUAUUUUAUAUGCUAACGGGGGUUCUGAGCCAUUCCUUCAAUCACAGAUAUUGCACAAUAUCACAGAUAUCCAACAGAAGUGACUGACAGAUACAUUUAAGGUAUAUCUUGUGGAUUCCCAAUUUUUCUCGACUUUUAGUAAUUUAGGUGAAUAAUUUUUCAUCUAGAGUGAGCAGUUCACUGUAAAUUUUCAAGAACUGAAAUCUGAACUGUUGGGAUUGGACAUGCAGAUCACAUGGUAUGCUUCGGUUCUCUGGUUGGGUUGUUUCUAAUCCCAUGAACCAUCCACCAGCCAUGCAUUGAGGAGUAGGACUUCAAGAUUGGGGUGAAGGAUCUUCCUGGGAAGGAAAUUGAAGGGCAGUUGAGAAGGAGCGGAGGGCUGUUUCCCCAUGCAGCACAACAGAGCAUAAGACAAGUAACACUCAUGCACAGGCUGAACAGACACUACUGUGUGAAAUCUCUGAUCGAAGGCACACGGGGUGCAAGGGCACCUAGAGUGGAGCACCCACAGGGACACUACUCAAAGAAGAACCUGACUUAUCCUCCUGGAGAACCUCAAGGUUCCAGAGGACCCAUUUUUCCUGCUUAAUGCCUGAACAUUGUUCUGUGAAAAAUGGCAGCCUAGUCCAGAAGCAAGUGCAUGAAUUUGCACAUUAUUGUAACUUUCCACUUAUAUGUAAUAAUAUUGCAACCCCUGGCUACCAUAAACUUAUUGUACUAAAUUGACUAUUCCCAGUUAAACAUCUUGUUAGGAGACCAACCAUGCUGCACAUUAGUUUGAUGUGGAAAAAAAUGUGAAUUGGACUCCUAUAUUGAAAGAAGAUGUGAGUGGUACCAUAAGUGUUUCCAGCUAAGUUUCUGAAUAAUAAUUGAAGGCAUGAGUGCUAGAGUGAGGACUAGUUUGAGUAACAUUGGAAAAAUGCAGGGUAGGGGAGAGACUGAGAGCACAUGGGAGAGGCAACAAAGCUGGGUUAUUGGGCUGGCUUCCUAGUCUAAUGUCAGUGCAGAGAGGAUGUAAAUUUAGAUAGGUGAGGUGCCCUGCUGCUCAGACCAGCAGGAGCUGGUGUGCUGUGGAGGUAAGCUGCUUAACCUCUACCAGGUAGAAAGUAGCAGUGUGCUCACAGCACUAAAUAUAAAAGGUCCCACCUGUGCUCCU